AUGGCGACUACCACUGGGAAGCUCACUGAUGGCGUGUGGGGCCCGAAGCACUACAUCCUGACGGCCAUCGCCGUGACCCUCGCCGUGAGCGCCGUGGCCGUCGUGACCUCCGUCAUCCUCAGCCCCGCGCGCCUCGUCUUCUCCGUGACCGCCACCUCCACCAACCAGCUCCAGGGAGCGCCGGUGUUGAUCCUAAACUUCACCAUGGAUGCUGCCAACCCGAGCCGCCGCGCGGGGAUGGAGUACAGCUCCCUCACGGCCCGGCUGCGGGUGUACAACGCGAGCCACGGGGCGGACGCGUCCGUGCAGACGGUGGUCCACCAGGCCAUGCCGCUCCUCCAGCCGCCGGCGAGCUGGAGGCUGGAGCAGCUUCCGUGCGUCGGCCUUCUUCGACCUGCGCUUCUUGGUCAGUAA
rnacentral:rRNA from 1 species